UUAAUUCUGACAAAUUGAAACAAAAAAAUUACGUGUAUAUUACAGAAGGCCGCCUAUCUAAUGUUCUUAAUUCUCCCAAAAAUCCUACUCGUGAUCUCUCCCCUUUCCUCAAACACAAAAUCACGAUUGCCAUCUUUUUAUAUUCGCGAAAUUAUCGAGGCGUCGUGAAACUCCAGCAUCCUAAUGAGAUUUUUCUUCUGGACUCGCUUCAUAUACCUUUCAAGCGUUCCAAUCAAUUCAUCUCGAAGUUCAUAGUCGCGCUCGAUUAGCGGAUAAGCCAAUUCCAGCAUGACGCAGAGAAUCAAAAGGGGAGAUGACCUGGUUGGUGUUAGACUAUUCUAGAAUUCUAAACAUUACCAAAAUUUAGGCCUCAUUUCAUACACCAUCGGCUGUCAUAUCUAAUCUGUUCUCUAGUCAAUAAUACCAUUGUUGAUAAUUCUCGAUAUUUUAGUCAAGGUUACUAAGUUUCGGGUAAGUUCUAUUCACCUAUGAUUCGGUGCUAUUCUUGGAUUGAAAUUCUGGUUGUCUGCCUUUAAAAUGGUUCCAAACUUUUGUUCCAUCCUAUUCUAUUCCUACCAACUGUUUGAUUAAAUGCUUUAGAGGAUUAAUUAACAUUUAUUGGAUUUACACUUUCGUAGCUAAUCAUUUUUCUCAUAACUAGAGAGAAACGAAUUUAUUUUUAUCAGUAUAGCAGCUUGAUUAGAAUCCUUUUACAUUUCUCAAAAAAAGGAAUAGAAUUCUUUUGUAUAGAUGACAUUCUCAUAACUACUUGAGGUUGUAUAAGUACACUUCAUGAUUUGUCUACCAUUCCAUUCUUCUUCAUAUGCUACGUGUGACACUAGUUGAGGCUAUCUAAGUACUGCCCCUUGAGACUAUGUUAAUGAUACCUGUUGUACUUGCAACAACAGAGCUUCAUUAUGAAGCACCGAGCUGUAAAUUGUAGUACUACAUCUCUUGGUAAGAAGUUAAACAAAUCAAAUAUCAAAAGUCAGCUCUUUUGCUGCAUCUUUUCAUGUUGAAAUGAUUUUGUAUGGUACUUAUUAGAUUAUUGACAUUGCUUGGGUGUUCAAUUUGUUCUUACAACUACAGAACCUGAAAUUCAUUUACCACAUACGACAUACUGAUGCACCAGUCGAAGCAAAAGGUAAUUAAUCCAAUUAUAGGACAAUCUUUGCAUCAAUUAGAUAGUUUAUUUAAUUAUUUAUUCCCGACACCUACUCUAUAUUGAUCCAGUGAAAUGAUACUCUAUAAUCUAAUUAUUUGUUUCACUGUAAAAGACCUAAGACUAAGAUAUAAUGUAACACUGCAGACUAAUAUUUGUAAUGUUGUUUCUCUUUGCUUUAGCUUACAGAAAGCAUUAUCCAUCAUUCUUGGAAUAAUGAAAUAUGAUGGUUAGGAAAAGAUUGCUCAAGAUGUGUGUCCACCUAAACGGCUGGCUGAGAAGGGAAUAUCAUUUGUGAAAAACUUCCUUCAGCUGUAUGUAACUCCAUCUCUAUUAGUGGAAUGAUCUUUUCCAUAAGCUAAUGAUGCUGAAUUUAUACAUUUCUCUUGAGCUUCUAAUAUUGAAUCGUUUUUAUGUUUUCUUGCAGAAGGUAGGAACCACAUGACUUAUCUAUACUUCUUCAAGAUAGUGUACGAGGUACAAUCAUGUUGUUCUUUCCGCUACUUAGUAGUUUCCUAAAUUACCUUAGUGAUGAUUCUAUUCUUUUUUUGUUUCAAUUCUUGGAACAAUACCUUAGAGAAUAUGAGCAACUAAUGUAAAGGAAUCCUCCACUUGGGAAAGCAUGGACACUGAAGCUUUUCCAUCAAAAGGACAAUACUAAAACUAUGACUGGGUAGAUUGUUAUGGAAGUUUAAGGGAAAAGUUAUGUAAUUGUAUGUGAAGUAACUCUGUAUUUGGUUCAAAUUGUUUGUAAUGUACUGAAAGUAUUGAAAUAAGAAUAGAUGUUAUUGUGGAUAAAUUGUUG
rnacentral:lncRNA from 1 species